UACGUAGGGCGCAAGCGUUGUCCGGAAUUAUUGGGCGUAAAGAGCUCGUAGGCGGCUUGUCACGUCCGUUGUGAAAUCGCUCGGCUCAAGCUGGGCGGGGUCAGCGGAUACGGGUGUGGCUGGAGCAAGCGUAGGGGGCAAUGAAUUCCCGGGUGUAGUGGUGGAAUGCGUAGAUAUCGGGAGGAACACCAGUGGCGAAGGCGGUUGCCUGGAGCUUUGCUGACGCUGAUGCGCGAAAGCGUGGGGAGCGAUCCGG
rnacentral:rRNA from 1 species